rnacentral:lncRNA from 1 species
CUGCCACCACGAAUGAUGCACCUCGCACGGUUUAUCUUAUUUUCAAUUUUACCGUGGGGUAGUAUUCAUGAUUCAGAUUAAUAUUUGAAUAUGUAUGGGAAUCAGGUAUUGUGGAUUCAUGGCUUCCAACAGACUCAAGAAUCUGUUGUUAAUUACCCCACACUUUUAGUGUUAAGGAACCCUCGAUUAAGAGACCAAAUAUAAAUGCUGAUAAAAUAGACCAAGCAGGCAAAUAAAAUUUUAUUCAUAUGAUUUGCCGUUUACAUAGCUUAAGCAGGGGCAUACCCCCACUGUACAUGAAUUUCAUAAAAUGACACAGCAUUCGGUUGAAGUUUUGAUUUAUUAAAUCCUAAGUAUAUGUAUUAGGAUUUAAUUGGAUUUGAGAUUGACUAGGUCCUAAGUAUAUGUGUUAAGACCUAGUCGAUAUUAGACUCUAUGUAUUAGAGUCUAAUUGGCUCUAAGUAUAUAUUUUAGAGUCCAAUUAUAUUCACCUUGGUUAUAUGUUCCAAGGUGGAGAUGUGACCAAACCUCAAGUAUAUGUAUUGAGGUGGGUCGAAUUACCCGAAAGUAGAGAGUGGCUGAUUCCUGAGUAUAUGUAUCAGGAUUAACCGAGUUUAAUAUGUUUUCACUCUAGUUAUAUGUGCUAGAGUGAAGAUCUGACUAAGCCCUAAGUAUAUAUAUUAGGGGUAGUCGGAUUUGAUUCAUAUGAACUCUAAGUAUAUGUAUUAGAGCUCGAUCGGGUAAGGAUUUCACUCUAGGUAUAUGUGCUAGAGCAAAAGGCUGACUAGACCCUAGGUAUAUGUGCUAGGGCUAGUCGGAUGAACUCUAAGUAUAUAUGUUAGAGUUCGAAUAAAGUUGAUAUCAUUUGACUGAAUUCUAAGUAUAUGGCUUAGAACUCUGUCGAUUUGGAGAUGUUUCGCCUUAGUUAUAUGUGCCAAGGCGAUUGACAUAGCCCUAAGUAUAUGUAUUAGGGGUAGUCGAUAUUUAAUUUUUACUCUAGGUAUAUGUGCCAGAGUAAAAAAAAAAGGUUCACGAUGAGAUUUGGGUAUUGGUUCAUGAGAUUUGAGUAUUGGCUCAUGAGAUUUGGUUCAUGAAUUUGGAUAUGGUUCAUGAAUUUUGUGUAUGGACUUGGUUCAUGAACUUUGAUAUGAUUCAUAGAUUUGGUGUAUGGACUUGGUUCAUGAACUUGGAUAUGGUUUAUGAAUUUGGUGUAUGGAUUUGGUUCAUGAACUUGGAUAUGGUGUAUGGAUUUGGUGUAUGAAUUUGGUUCAUGAACUUGGAUAUGGUUCAUGGAUUUGGUGUACGGACUUGGUUCAUGGUUCAAGAAAUUUAGGUUUAGUUUAACGACUUUUCGGUCGUUUGAAAUUUGGAUUUAGUUUAGCGACUUUUCGGUCGUUUGAGAUUUGGGUUUAGUUUAGCGACGUUUCGGUCGUUUGAAAUUUGGGUUUAGUUUAGCGACGUUUCGGUCGUUUGAAAUUUGGGUUUAGUUUAGCGACGUUUCGGUCGUUUGAAAUUUGGGUUUAGUUUAGCGACGUUUCGGUCGUUUGAAAUUUGGGUUUAGUUUAGCGACGUUUCGGUCGUUUGAAAUUUGGGUUUAGUUUAGCGACGUUUCGGUCGUUUGAAAUUUGGGUUUAGUUUAGCGACGUUUCGGUCGUUUGAAAUUUGGGUUUAGUUUAUCGACGUUUCGGUCGUUUGAAAUUUGGGUUUAGUUUAGCGACGUUUCGGUCGUUUGAAAUUUGGGUUUAGUUUAGCGACGUUUCGGUCGUUUGAAAUUUGGGUUUAGUUUAUCGACGUUUCGGUCGUUUGAAAUUUGGGUUUAGUUUAGCGACGUUUCGGUCGUUAUCGGAUUUAGGUUUAGUUUAACGACGUUUCGGUCGGUUGAUUUGGUGGAUUAGUUUAACGACGUUUCGGUCGUUUGAAAUUUGGGUUUAGUUUAGCGACUUUUCGGUCGAUAUCGGAUUCAGGUUUAGUUUAACGACGUUUCGGUCGGUUGAUUUGGUGGAUUAGUUUAACGACGUUUCGGUCGAUUGAUUUGGUGGAUUAGUUUAACGACGUUUCGGUCGUUUGAAAUUUGGGUUUAGUUUAGCGACUUUUCGGUCGAUAUCGGAUUUAGGUUUAGUUUAACGACGUUUCGGUCGGUUGAUUUGGUGGAUUAGUUUAACGACGUUUCGGUCGAUUGAUUUGGUGGAUUAGUUUAACGACGUUUCGGUCGUUUGAAAUUUGGGUUUAGUUUAGCGACUUUUCGGUCGAUAUCGGAUUUACGUUUAGUUUAACGACGUUUCGGUCGGUUGAUUUGGUGGAUUAGUUUAACGACGUUUCGGUCGGUUGAUUCGGUGGAUUAGUUUAACGACGUUUCGGUCGAAGGUUUGGGUUUGGUUCACAAGGUUUAUGGUAUUGGGUAUAUGGGAUUAUGGUUCAUGAACUUAGAUAUGGCUCAUGGGUUUAUGGUUCAUGGACUUAUGGUUCAUGGGUUUAUGGUUCAUGGGUUUAUGGUUCAUGAACUUGGUUUGAUUCAUGAACUUGAUUCAUAGUUCGUGGAUUUGGUGUAUGGUAUGGUCCACGGGAUUUGGUGUAUGGUUUGGUCCAUGAUUUUGGUUCAAAGUUCAUGAACUUGGUUAAGGUUAUGGGCUUGGAUAUGGGUUAAAUGUGUAUGGGUUCAUGGGUAAAUGUAUAUAGGUUUAUGUAUAUAGGUUUAUGGGUUAAUGGUUUUAAUGAGUUUUGGAUAAUGGGUUUAGGUAGUGGGCCCAAAUGGGUUUUGGA